UGUUCUUCCUGCUCCGGCACUGGCAAAGAGAAACCAGAAAGUGAAAGAAACCAUCCAUCAUGCCCAAGCUACGCCAAGGCACUGAGCGGCUGUGGGUGAGAAUCACAGCAUGGCUUGGGUUGGAAGGGACCUUAAGGAUCAUCUAGUUCCAGCCCUCCUGCUGUGGUAACAACAAGCACUGGACGAUUACAGGACUGCAUUUUAACUGGCAUCAACCAGCUUCCUUCCUUCCAAUGCAACGACACUGACAGACGCUGAGAACGGGGUCCCACGUGUUGGAGGAGAGAAGGAGAAACAAAGAUACUCACGUUGAACUCUUCUCGGAAGAGCUUGUUGUCAUCUGCCAUGCGGCGGUUGAUCUCCUCCUCCAGCUUGUCGACGGGCAGAG